rnacentral:lncRNA from 1 species
GAGGAUCUGAAAUUUCAGAGAGGUUAAACAAUUUGCCUAGGAUCACACAGCAAAGAAGAUAAAACUCACAUACACAGGGUGAGCCCUUCUCACUGGAGGUUCUCUUGGUGCCCCCUCGUGCUCUCACACUGGAGGGAGCUUUAUCUUUCAGUGGCCAGAAAAAGACCUCUGAGGACCCACCAGUCCAGCCUUACCAGACACCUGGCAGAGAAAGUGAUUUCUGAAGCAGGAGGAAACCCAGGAAGAUUGCUCAGUUCCUGAGAGCACUGCUUCCCAGCUGGGGAUGACAGAUACACCAAGAAGACGGUCAUCUGAAAACCAGGAAGAGGGUCCUCACCACGAACCGAAUCAGCCGGCACCUUGAUUUUGGACUUCUCAGCCUUCAGAAUCGAAAGGCUCUUCCGGCAGACUGGAGUGGGGAAAUGUUAAGAGAGGAGAAGGGUUUCAGUGUUACUGUUGUCUCUGCUGGAGGGUGGAGAGUCGGAGGCCUCAGCACAUCUGCAGUGCCAUGGAUGUGACAUCAUGUAACUGUCUACCCACUGCCAUCAAGCGGUCUAGCUGCUCCUCCUGAGGAAGGGAGCAGCUCGGAGCAGCGGAAAGAAUGCAGUUUCGGAGUCAGGAUCACCCAUGGUGGACAGGUUUCACCUGAGCUUCCAGACGAAGAUAGACUAGGAAGAAGGACCUGGCCACCCACUUCUGAAAAAAUUGGCCACGAAAACCCUAUGAAUAGCAGCGGAACAUUGUCUGAUACAGCGCUGGAAGGUUUUAAAACUUCUGGAAAAUGAAC